rnacentral:rRNA from 1 species
UACGUAGGGUGCGAGCGUUGUCCGGAAUUAUUGGGCGUAAAGAGCUCGUAGGCGGUUUGUCGCGUCUGCCGUGAAAGUCCGGGGCUCAACCCUGGAAUGCCGGUGGAUACUGUCGGGCUCGAAUCCGGAAGAGGUGAGUGGAAUUCCUGGUGUAGCGGUGAAAUGCGCAGAUAUCAGGAGGAACACCAAUGGCGAAGGCAGCUCACUGGGACGGUAUUGACGCUGAGACGCGAAAGCGUGGGGAGCAAACAGG